GUCAGGAUAUGAAGUCAAGACACUCGUUAUUUUAUCAUUGUUAUUGAAUGCGCUGGCAUUGGGAAUAGUAGUGUUUGCAAUUUGCGGUUUUUACUAUCGUGUUAAACAGUACAAACUUCAAACAAAACACCAAGAAAAAGCUGAUUGCCUCCCAGAAGGAUAACAGAAGGUACUGAUUAGAAUAUCUAUUCCGAGAUCGUCAAAGAGGUGUUUAUAUGUAGAAGACAGACUAGAUUUGGGUUUUCCUCGAAAUCAAUUUAGGUCAAAUGGUAUCUUAGAAGCAAAGAAAAAGGAAACUGAAAAGCGUAGAUGACAAAAAAAUUUGGUUUUAAAGCACUGAAGUUAAUAAAAAAGUGAAUACGAUUUCAUAUUCCUUUAAGUUAAAAAGUGAAACUGCUGUAUUGGGGGGGGGGGGGUUUCUUUCUCAAAAUGAAGUGCAACUUUGAAACUCCUUUCAUCAUGAAAAAUCCGCUAAUUUAAUUGGCUAGUCAAUGAAAUGUCAUGUGUGGUAAUAAUAGGUCGAAUUUUUUUAUACAAAACUUUGACAAUAUUUAAGUUAGAAUAUAAUGUUAAAAAAA